rnacentral:rRNA from 1 species
UACGGGGGGUGCAAGCGUUGUUCGGAAUCAUUGGGCGUAAAGCGCGUGUAGGCGGCUUGACAAGUCAGAUGUGAAAUCCCUGGGCUUAACCCAGGAAGUGCAUUUGAAACUGUCUGGCUCGAGUAAGGGAGAGGAAAGUGGAAUUCCUGGUGUAGAGGUGAAAUUCGUAGAUAUCAGGAGGAACACCGGUGGCGAAGGCGACUUUCUGGCCCUAUACUGACGCUGAGACGCGAAAGCGUGGGUAGCAAACAGG